ensembl:lncRNA
GGGACAGAACACCUGUCUUUUGAGUUCAAAGUCUCUGUGUGAAAAGAAGCUGCAGCUGAGGAGCCAUCUAUACUUGAGAGGCCCUAUCUAUAUGAUAACCUGGUGCAGACCGUGAGAUCAUGGACUUCAAGCUUGACGUGAUAUGAGGUGAAGCUUUCGGGGGUCUUGGGAAGGAGGCCCCAGCAGAGGCUGAGAUUUUGCAGGCAGGAAGGGCAACCUCAUCCCCAGCAAAUGUAUCUAUCCUUGUGAAGAGGAACGAGAGACCCUUUCAGGAUGGAAGGUGGCCAAUGUAGUCAAUUUGCCACUAAGCGGCCAACUGGGUUCCUUGAAGAAUAGUGCCUGGAUGACUUGGUUUCUGUUGCUAACAGUUUGGACAUUCAGAAGCAGCAGUAGCUGGAUCUGCCUUGCUGGUCAUAUGGGAUUCUCCUAUACGGCCGCAGGCACAAGUUAGAGGAGGGCCUUGGUCCAGCUGUGGUGGAUGACAAGGAGGUCUGAGCUGCCUAUUUUUGCAGGUAAGUCAUGCCCUCUGGUCCUACUCAGGCUCCACCCCAGGUAUGCUAUUUCCACACCACAGUGGAUGCCUGCGGACCUAUCUGACUUUAUGACUUGGCAGGUCUGACAGAACCCAGUUCAUAAUAGUCAGUUCCGGAUCCUGGCCAAGUGCUCUGUCUCUACCAGGAUCCAGUAACGUGCCAAGAGCUAUUUCUCAGAGUGCGUAAUUCUCCGCUGCUGAUGGCGCGACUUUGCUCCAGAAUCCCAGGAGCAUGCAUUGUGAUUCUCCUGUUGGAGUUUGCCACGAGCCAAGGUCACCCCCACCCACCCUUCCCUCCUCCAACUGAUUACUCUCUGGCCCUUUCAUCUAACUUUUUUGAUCUCAAGACUCUAUGCGUCGACCCAGAGAACAUCGCGUUCGUUUCCUAGGCCUGCCAUAGCAAAGGAUCACAAACAAGGCAGCUUAAACAACAGAAAGUAUUGUCUCACAGAUCAAGAUGUGGGCAGGGUUGGCUCCUUCCGCGGCUGUGAGGGAGAACCUGUUCCAUGCCUCCUUCCUGGUUUCUGGUGGUUUUCUGGCAAUCUUUGGUAUUCAUCGCCUUGUAGAAGCAUCACCCCAAUCUCCGCCUUCAUGUCCACCCGGCAUUCCCCCUACAUGUGUGUGUCUGUGUCCAAAUUUCCCCUUUUUAUAAGGACACCAGUCAUGUUGGAUUACAGCCCUCUCUACUCCAGCAAGACCUCAUCUUAACUCAUUUCAUCAGCAACAACCCUGUUCCCAGAUAAGGUCACAUUCUGAGGGUGAGGAGUCAGGACUUCAAAUACGCAUUGUAGGAAACCCAGUUCAACCAGUAACAGACAUCUCGAUGUUCUCUCCUGGGUGAUGCUUCCCUCCUCCUGGGACGACGGUGACUGCCUCCUGCAUCAGCCGGACAGCACCGUUCUUUGAAUUCGAACCUCUCAGCUGGAAUGGCAGUGAGCAGGAGGCCCCUGGGACAGCCUUCCCACCCACCCUCACAGCCCAGGCCACGGGCCACACCACAGGCCUCACCCUGGCCAGAGCCUCUCGAUCCCAGGACAACAGGGUGUCCUGAGGCCACGCCCCCCUCUUCAGCACAGCCAUGUCCCCACUGAGGCCCGUUCCCCACAGCCUUGACCCUGACACACCAAUUCCACAUUGUUCUCACCUGACUGAGCAUGGAAAGACACUUUUUAAAGAAGCCAUAUCCUCCCCAGAAGCAUGGCCUAGAUACAGCUGCGAAAGAGCCCAGAUGACUUCGGGACCCCAUGUCCUUUGAUCAUUCUCCUCAGGCCUUUGGCAACUCGUAAUUCUACCCAGCCCCUGAACAUCAUUAUAAACAAGUAGCACAGUGUAACAAAGAGAGCAGUCAGCUAGGAGACCUGGGGUCCAGCCCAGCCUGUCAUUUAGCACCUGGGUGGCCUUGGGCAAGUCCCUUCACCUCCUGAUUCUCAACUGUAAGGAAAAGAGGCAGAGAAGCAACCGUUCGGUGAUCUCUAAGUCACCUUUAAGCACAAAUGAACCAGGGCUCGAGUCUGGCUGGCCAUUAACUUGUCUAAAGAGAGAGGAAUCUAUUUGCUUAGUCAGGAAAGUUUGUUUGAAAAUGUCCCUUUUCUCUCAAAGUAAUUGUGAAACUGCAGACAGAACACCCUUUGGUGCAUAUUUAAAAUUCAGGAUCUGAGUAUUUUCCUUAAACAUGUGUCCGGGCUGCAGGAGAAGCUGGCCAUCAGCUGGGGCACUAAGCAGAGCGCCUCCCCGAGGUCUCUCCUGUGCCCUGGGCUUCUCCAGCAUGGGCUGGGUUCUGAGAGGAGGUGCCCAAAGGUGAGUGUUUCAGAGAAGGGAAGCAGAAACCACAAGGCUCCUACGAGCUGGCCUUGGAAAUUCUAGAACAUUACCUCUGCCACAUUCUGUUGACCAGGCAACUAAGGACAGCCUAGAUUCAAGGGGAGAGGAAUUAACUCCACCUCUUCAUGGAGAAGAGUCUAGUUCACAUUGCAGCAGAGCGUGUGGGGGUGGGGGAAUUGUUACGUCCAACUUUGGAAAACGUAAUAUGCCCCAAUAUGGAAAUCUUGGUAUAAACUUGUAUGAUCGAAUGCAUAUAAAUGCACAGAAAAGCAUCAAUAAUACUUAUCUCCAGGUAGUAGAACUUUAAACUUUAGCUACUUGUCAAACGCUUGCAUAGUGCUCACUAUGUACUAGGCACUUUUUAAAGCACCUGAACACAGAAAAACUCAUUUAGACCACUAUUAUUAUCUUCAUUUUACAGACUGUAAAACUGAGGCACUGAGAGGUGAAGGAAAUUGCCUAACACCAGCCGGCCACAAUGAACAUGUGUAAUUUUACAACUCAGAAAAAAGAAAACCCACUGAUAUUGAGGAAAGAAGAGAUCUAUGCAAAUGGCUCUGGAAAGUCAUCUGUGCAUUGGGUUCGUCGUGAACGUGAUGCUGCAGACAGCAGCUCAGGCUAGACUGACGGGUGCAUGGGGGAGACUGAGGCGUUUGGGAGGGAAGUGACCUGGUGCUGCGAAUCCUGCCCUGGGGCUCGAGGAACUCCGCCUCCCCUAACCCUGAUCUAACUGGACGGACCCAAGCGAAACCAUGCUGACGGCACUCCCAGUUGCAGGUCUUCCAAAUAAAAUCUUUUCAGAUGAGCAGCA